rnacentral:rRNA from 1 species
CCUACGGGAGGCAGCAGUAGGGAAUUUUCCGCAAUGGGCGAAAGCCUGACGGAGCAAUACCGCGUGAGGGAUGACGGCCUGUGGGUUGUAAACCUCUUUUCUCAAGGAAGAAGUUCUGACGGUACUUGAGGAAUAAGCAUCGGCUAACUCUGUGCCAGCAGCCGCGGUAAUACAGAGGAUGCAAGCGUUAUCCGGAAUCACUGGGCAUAAAGCGUCUGUAGGUUGUUUAGUAAGUCUGCUGUUAAAGACUGGGGCUUAACCCCAGAAAAGCAGUGGAAACUGCUAGACUCGAGUGUGGUAGAGGUAGAGGGAAUUCCUAGUGUAGCGGUGAAAUGCGUAGAUAUUAGGAAGAACACCAAUGGCGAAGGCACUCUACUGGGCCAUAACUGACACUGAGAGACGACAGCUAGGGGAGCAAACGGGAUUAGAUACCCCGGUAGUCCUAGCCGUAAACGAUGGAUACUAGAUGUUGCACGUAUUAACCCGUGCAGUAUCGUAGCUAAGGCGUUAAGUAUCCCGCCUGGGAAGUACGCNCGCAGAGAGAACUAAAUAGAUAGACGGCGUGAGACGUGCCGAACGGACGACGACGAGGGAGGUAGG